rnacentral:rRNA from 1 species
ACACGCAUGACACACUGCAUAUCAAUAAGCGGAGGAAAAGAAACUAACAAGGAUUCCCUUAGUAACGGCGAGUGAAGCGGGAAGAGCUCAAAUUUGAAAUCUUCGAGGUUCUACCUUGACGAAUUGUAGUUUAUAGAAGUGUUUUCUGUUAGUAGAGUGGCAAAAGUUCUUUGGAAUAGGACAUCAUAGAGGGUGAGAAUCCCGUAUUUGGUCAUUCUUUCUAGCUUUGUGAUACACUUUCAACGAGUCGGAUUGUUUGGGAAUGCAGUCCAAAAUGGGUGGUAAAUUUCAUCUAAAGCUAAAUAUUGGCGAGAGACCGAUAGCGAACAAGUACCGUGAGGGAAAGAUGAAAAGAACUUUGAAAAGAGAGUUAAACAGUACGUGAAAUUGUCAAAAGGGAAGCGUUUGACACCAGUGUUGUUUUUCCGAAAAUCAAUUACGAAUGUUUUAUUUUUGAGAAGUUAUGACUUCAUCGGCUUGCUUCUCUCUUUAUGAAACUUUCUUAAUGCACUUUUCGGUUAACAAGUCAACAUCAAUUUCUUUUGUUGUAAAAGGGUAUGAGGAAAGUGGCUUUCUUUUCGGAGAAAGUGUUUAUAGCCUUGUACCUCUGCAAUCGGAGAGAUUGAGGUCUGCAGCGUAGAUCCUUCGGGGUUAGAUACGUAGAUGCUAAGUUAUAGUUUUUUAUAGACAACUUGUUGACUAUGAUUAAUCAUGUAGCUUACUCGUUUACGCUAUUUUACCUACGCUUAGGAUGUUGAGCGCAUGUCUCUCUCU